CAAAUUAACAAUAUAGCCUCUAUCCCCCAACUACACCCUACAGCCCUUAUCACCCUAAACACACACAACAGCUCCUAUUCAAACACAGGCCAUAUUUGCAUACACAUACAUACUAUACCGCAAACAGCCCCAUCCACAAACACAUCCCAACAGCAGAAUCUCUGCUACAAAUACAACCCUGUAAGCAGUGGCGGAACUACCGC